GAUGAACGCUGGCGGCGUGCCUAAUACAUGCAAGUCGAGCGAACAGACGAGGAGCUUGCUCCUCUGACGUUAGCGGCGGACGGGUGAGUAACACGUGGAUAACCUACCUAUAAGACUGGGAUAACUUCGGGAAACCGGAGCUAAUACCGGAUAAUAUAUUGAACCGCAUGGUUCAAUAGUGAAAGACGGUUUUGCUGUCACUUAUAGAUGGAUCCGCGCCGCAUUAGCUAGUUGGUAAGGUAACAGCUUACCAAGGCAACGAUGCGUAGCCGACCUGAGAGGGUGAUCGGCCACACUGGAACUGAGACACGGUCCAGACUCCUACGGGAGGAAGCAGUAGGGAAUCUUCCGCGAUGGGGGAAAGCCUGACGGAGCAACGCCGCGUGAGUGAUGACGGUCUUCGGAUCGUAAAACUCUGUUAUUAGGGAAGAACAAAUGUGUAAGUACCUAUGCACGUCUUGACGGUACCUAAUCAGAAAGCCACGGCUAGCUACGUG
rnacentral:rRNA from 1 species